rnacentral:rRNA from 1 species
CGGUAAUUCCAGCUCCAAUAGCGUAUACUAAAGUUGUUGCAGUUAAAAAGCUCGUAGUUGGAUUUCUGCGGGGACGGAGCGGCCGGUCGCAACUUGCGACUCGAGCUAGCGCUUUCCCCGCAUCCCACCGCGAACCGUGCUACCAUUAGCUUGGUGGCGCUGGGGAUCGGCUCGAUUACUUUGAGAAAAAUAGAGUGUUCAAAGCAGGCCACACGCCUUGAAUAAGUUAGCAUGGAAUAAUGACUAAGGACUUUGGUUCUUUUCGUUGGUGUUCGGGACUGAAGUAAUGAUUGAUAGGGACAGUUGGGGCGGUCCGUAUUCCAAAGCGAGAGGUGAAAUUCUUAGACCUUCGGAAGACGAACAGCUGCGAAAGCGUUCCGCAAGGAUGUUCCCUUUGAUCAAGAACGAAAGUUGGGGGAUCGAAGACGAUCAGAUACCGUCGUAGUCUCAACUAUAAACUAUACCAGCUAGGGAUCGGCCAACGUUUAAUUUAUCGACUUGGUCGGCACCUUAUGAGAAAUCAAAGCAUCUGGGUUCCGGGGGGAGUAUGGUCGCAAGGCUGAAACUUAAAGGAAUUGACGGAAGGGCACCACCAGCCGUGGAGCCUGUGGCUUAAUUUGACUCAACACGGGAAAACUUACCAGGUCCGGACAUAGUAAGGAUUGACAGGUUGAUAGCUCUUUCUUGAUUCUGUGGGUGGUGGUGCAUGGCCGUUUUUAGUCGGUGGAUGUGAUCUGUCUGCUUAAUUGCGUUAACGGACGAGACCCCAGCCUGCUAAAUAGCGCGGCCGAGCUUUGCUCGGUGCGAGCUUCUUAGAGGGACCAUGAUGCGCGAUAGCACAAGGAAGUUUGGGGCAACAACAGGUCUGUGAUGCCCUUAGAUGUUCUGGUCCGCACACGGGCUACACUGGCGCCUGCAACGAGCAUAUCAGCUGGCCCGAGAGGGUCUUGGCUAAUCUUUGGAACCGGCGCCGUGCUUGGGAUUGACCAUUGCAAUUGUUGGUCAUGCAACGAGGAAUGCCUUGUAAACGCGAGUCAUCAGCUCGCAUUGAAUACGUCCCUGCCCUUUGUACACACCGCCCGUCGCUCCUACCGAUGAAUGUUCCGAUGAAAUUUUCGGAGAGCACCAGAGAACGGGGCUCCGCCUUGCAGAUCUGGAGGCUCAAAGUCACUUAAAUCUGAACAUUUCGAGGAAGGAGAAGUCGUAACAAGGUAACC